rnacentral:rRNA from 1 species
UGCAAGUCGAACGAAGUAGCAAUACUUAGUGGCAGACGGGUGAGUAACAUGUGGGUAUCUACCCUUUGGCCUGGAAUAACACGAGGAAACUUGUGCUAAUACUGGAUAAGUCUUUACGGAGAAAGCUUUAUGCACCAUUGGAUGAGCCCGCACAUGAUUAGUUUGUUGGUGGGGUAAUGGCCUACCAAGACUGUGAUCAAUAGCUGAUUUGAGAGGAUGAUCAGCCACAUUGGGACUGAGACACGGCCCAAACUCCUACGGGAGGCAGCAGUGGGGAAUCUUGCACAAUGGAGGAAACUCUGAUGCAGCGAUGCCGCGUGAGUGAAGAAGGCCUUUGGGUUGUAAAGCUCUUUCGUCGGGGAAGAAAAUGACUGUACCCGAAUAAGAAGGUCCGGCUAACUUCGUGCCAGCAGCCGCGGUAAUACGAAGGGACCUAGCGUAGUUCGGAAUUACUGGGCUUAAAGAGUUCGUAGGUGGUUGAAAAAGUUGGUGGUGAAAUCCCAGAGCUUAACUCUGGAACUGCCAUCAAAACUUUUCAGCUAGAGUUUGAUAGAGGAAAGCAGAAUUUCUAGUGUAGAGGUGAAAUUCGUAGAUAUUAGAAAGAAUACCAAUUGCGAAGGCAGCUUUCUGGAUCAUUACUGACACUGAGGAACGAAAGCAUGGGUAGCGAAGAGGAUUAGAUACCCUCGUAGUCCAUGCCGUAAACGAUGUGUGUUAGACGUUGGAAAUUUAUUUUCAGUGUCGCAGCGAAAGCGAUAAACACACCGCCUGGGGAGUACGACCGCAAGGUUAAAACUCAAAUGAAUUGACGGGGACCCGCACAAGUAGUGGAGCAUGUGGUUUAAUUCGAAGAUACGCGCAGAACCUUACCAACACUUGACAUGUUCGUCGCGACUUUAAGAGAUUAA